GCUUAACACAUGCAAGUCGAACGCGAAAGUAGCUUCGGUUACGAGUAGAGUGGCGGACGGGUGAGUAACGCGUAAGAAUCUGCCUAGUAGUGGGGGACAACUCGAAGAAAUUCGAGCUAAUACCGCAUACGCCCUACGGGGGAAAGAUGGCCUCUUCAUGAAAGCUAUCACUAUUAGAUGAGCUUGCGUCGGAUUAGCUAGUUGGUAAGGUAACGGCUUACCAAGGCGACGAUCCGUAGCUGGUCUGAGAGGAUGAUC
rnacentral:rRNA from 1 species